GAACUCAGAAAUCCACCUGCCUCUGCCUCCCAAGUGCUGGGAUUAAAGGCGUAUAUGCCUUUGAGGUCUUAAGGAGAGCCUGGGAAUGGAAAGGGAUCCCUGCUGUUCUGGAGACGCUGGUGCCUCAAUGAAAUGACUGGAGUCAUUGGCUGGAGUCUAGACAACAGGUUGUACGUGCUGCCAAGAGCAGAGCUGAGAGCUGAGCGCUGAUCCACAGAGGAGCCCAGAGGAUGGACAUAACUUUAAGCUGGGCCACACCUUCUACUGGAAGCCUAUAUAAGACAUAGAAGAAGGAAGCUGCUGUUCUUGGCCUGCUUUCCCUCACCUUACCAGCAUAUUCAUCACUUCCCUGGCACUGGAGCCUAGUUCUUUGGGAUUCCAGCAUGGACAGAAGACCAGCUGAGACAUCCAGCCUUGUGGGACUGAGCAGCUACUGGAUUCUUAGACAUUCCAUUCACUGCCAGCUGUUGUUGAUUAGCUCGAUUGCAGCCUGCAAGUCAUUUCAUUUCAAUAAAACCC
rnacentral:lncRNA from 1 species